rnacentral:rRNA from 1 species
AUUGAACGCUGGCGGCAGGCCUAACACAUGCAAGUCGAGCGGAGGAAGGGAGCUUGCUCCUGGAUUCAGCGGCGGACGGGUGAGUAAUGCCUAGGAAUCUGCCUGGUAGGGGGGGAUAACGUCCGGAAACGGGCGCUAAUACCGCAUCCGUCCUGAGGGAGAAAGGGGGGGAUCUUCGGACCUCACGCUAUCAGAUGAGCCUAGGUCGGAUUAGCUAGUUGGUGGGGUAAAGGCCUACCAAGGCGACGAUCCGUAACUGGUCUGAGAGGAUGAUCAGUCACACUGGAACUGAGACACGGUCCAGACUCCUACGGGAGGCAGCAGUGGGGAAUAUUGGACAAUGGGCGAAAGCCUGAUCCAGCCAUGCCGCGUGUGUGAAGAAGGUCUUCGGAUUGUAAAGCACUUUAAGUUGGGAGGAAGGGCAGUAAGUUAAUACCUUGCUGUUUUGACGUUACCAACAGAAUAAGCACCGGCUAACUUCGUG